rnacentral:lncRNA from 10 species
AGCGGCAGCAGCAGUUAGCAGCGGCAACUUGAGGCUGCACCCCGGGCAAGUCCCCAGGGUGGUGCUCAGCCGAGAGGGGGGCUUGGCGCCCCGAAGGGGUGUGUGUAGGGUGGGGGCGACCACGUGGGACCAGCUGGUGGCCCUGGAAAACCUCCCACACACCCACACCCACACACCCCUUUUGUGUUGCAGGCUGCCCCUCCAAGAGCGGAGGCAGCGAGAGUACGCGUGUGCCUCGCGCCGGUCCACGCGGGGAGAGCACUGGGGACCGAGACCCGGCACCACCUCCCGGUCCGCCCUCCAGUUCUGGAAGCUGGAAACUCCUGGAUCAAGGCCCUGGCAGAUUCUGUCUGGUGAGAGCCCAUUCCUUAUGGUGGUAACUUCUAUAUGUCUUCCCACCACAGAAGGGGGAAAACGGGAAAACUAGCAAGAGCUAGCAAGAACUAGCAAGAGCUUGAACAAACGCCUGGACUCAGAUUGGAAGACUGCUCAUUUGUCUACUGCCUCAUUCCUGGAAAUUGCACUGGAACUGUCUGAUUAAG